rnacentral:rRNA from 1 species
UACAGAGGUCUCAAGCGUUGUUCGGAUUCAUUGGGCGUAAAGGGUGCGUAGGUGGCGCCGUAAGUCGGGUGUGAAAUUUCGGAGCUUAACUCCGAAACUGCAUUCGAUACUGCGGUGCUUGAGGACUGGAGAGGAGACUGGAAUUCCUGGUGUAGCGGUGAAAUGCGCAGAUAUCAGGAAGAACACCCGUGGCGAAGGCGGUUCUCUGGGACGGUACUGACGCUGAGACGCGAAAGCGUGGGGAGCGAACAGG